rnacentral:rRNA from 1 species
AUUGAACGCUGGCGGCAGGCCUAACACAUGCAAGUCGAGCGAGCGGCGGACGGGUGAGUAAUGUCUGGGAAACUGCCUGAUGGAGGGGGAUAACUACUGGAAACGGUAGCUAAUACCGCAUAACAUCAGAUGUGCGCAGAUGAGAUUAGCUAGUAGGUGGGGUAACGGAUCACUUAGUCGACGCUCCCUAGCUGGUCUGUGAGGAUGACCAGCCACACGGGAACUGAGACACGGUCAAGACUCCUAAGGUAGGCAGCAGUGGGGAAUAUUGCACAAUGGGCUCAAGCCUGAGACAGCCAUGCCGCGUGUGUGAAGAAGGCCUUCGGGUUGUAAAGCACUUUCAGCGGGGAGGCGUUACCCGCAGAAGAAGCACCGGCUAACUCCGUGCCAGCAGCAGCGGUAAUUC